UCUUGGGGGAUUUACAGUGGUCGCUUAGGACAAAAUUUGCUUAAUACAUGUGGUCGCAUGGGCAAGUUUAAAGAUUGUAUUUUACUGAUCAAGCUCAAAUGCAAGUUUUCAUAACUUCAUGUUUCAAAAGUAGCAACUAAAGACCUGACUGCAAAUAAGAAAUCUAAAAUGAAAAAGGGGUGUAUCAUUUGGGUACAGUUAGCAUAAAUAAGUAUAAACUAUAGACUCUAUAUAUAGGUGAGCGAUUUCAGGGCCAUCAUGGCCCUCUUGUUUAGAUAAUAUUUAUUAUAGGGUAUGUAAGUCUCGUCAUGUGACUUGCGAGAUUUCACGAUAUUUUGCACUUCCGGGUACAAACAAAUAUCAACAACAUUGCUUAUCUAUAUUGGGUAAUACUUGUAUGCCGGUGGGAAAGUAAAACUUGCACGGAAAAGCAAAGGAUAUGUAGAAAUUGGCAGAGUGUUUUGUUUUGUAACGAAAUGCAAAUGGUUUCAUCUUGUGAACAAGUAUCAAUGAAAGACAACUUCGUAUAAUCUUCAGAUAUUUAGACUGAGGACAGUGGUGAGAUGAAAGACGUCAACUGGUAUCCGAUGUAAAUACACAUGCAUGCUCUGCUGUAAAAUCGUUUUGGUAUGUGAUUUCAUGGUUGGAUCUUGAGUACUUGUCAUGGCUCUUGAUUUAUUUUGGAGUGUUCACCAUCAGAUUAGAAACCAAAUAGUGAAACCAAAUAGUGAUACCACCAGACAUAGUUGAAAGGAAAUGUCCAUACAAAGUCUUGGAGUACAUAGUGGUAGAGACAUGGCAGUCCAUUACAGAUUUUGACUGAAUUAAAGCUUCUUAAAGCUCCAUGCCUUGUGUAAACUGUCUGACUGAAUGUUUGUAUUCAAAUAAAAACUAAGGUUGAAGACACUUCAAAGAUAUAUGUCAGUGUAAAAAUGUUAAACAAAAUAUCUGUCUUUGUU